GAGUGAACGCUGGCGGUAGGCCUAACACAUGCAAGUCGAACGGCAGCACAGUAAGAGCUUGCUCUUACGGGUGGCGAGUGGCGGACGGGUGAGGAAUACAUCGGAAUCUACUUUUUCGUGGGGGAUAACGUAGGGAAACUUACGCUAAUACCGCAUACGACCUACGGGUGAAAGCAGGGGAUCUUCGGACCUUGCGCGAUUGAAUGAGCCGAUGUCGGAUUAGCUAGUUGGCGGGGUAAAGGCCCACCAAGGCGACGAUCCGUAGCUAGUCUGAGAGGAUGAUCAGCCACACUGGAACUGAGACACGGUCCAGACUCCUACGGGAGGCAGCAGUGGGGAAUAUUGGACAAUGGGCGCAAGCCUGAUCCAGCCAUACCGCGUGGGUGAAGAAGGCCUUCGGGUUGUAAAGCCCUUUUGUUGGGAAAGAAAAGCAGCAGGUUAAUACCCCGCUGUUCUGACGGUACCCAAAGAAUAAGCACCGGCUAACUUCGUG
rnacentral:rRNA from 1 species